rnacentral:rRNA from 1 species
AUUGAACGCUGGCGGCAUGAUUUACACAUGCAAGUCGAACGGUAACAGGCCGCAAGGUGCUGACGAGUGGCGAACGGGUGAGUAAUGCAUCGGAACGUGCCCAGUCGUGGGGGAAAACUACUCGAAAGAGUAGCUAAUACCGCAUACGAUCUAUGGAUGAAAGCGGGGGACCGUAAGGCCUCGCGCGAUUGGAGCGGCCGAUGUCAGAUUAGGUAGUUGGUGGGGUAAAGGCUCACCAAGCCAACGAUCUGUAGCUGGUCUGAGAGGACGACCAGCCACACUGGGACUGAGACACGGCCCAGACUCCUACGGGAGGCAGCAGUGGGGAAUUUUGGACAAUGGGCGCAAGCCUGAUCCAGCAAUGCCGCGUGCAGGAAGAAGGCCUUCGGGUUGUAAACUGCUUUUGUACGGAACGAAACGGCUCUGGUUAAUACCCGGGGCUAAUGACGGUACCGUAAGAAUAAGCACCGGCUAACUACGUG